GAAYKRRAAMUUGCCAGAUCUWCGGAGGCAGCAUGGGAUUGCAUUGGCACCUGAUCAGCAUCCGGGGAGKKAAGAGCUCCGUGUAAGCUCUUUCAGCAGAACGAACGGUGCGCUCUAACWAGSGSGUAAUGACGGUACUGCAGAAGAAGCAUGCUAACUACGUGCCAGCAGCGCGGUAAUACGUAGGGUGCGAGCGUUAAUCGGAAUUACUGGCGUAAAGCGKGCGCAGGCGGAUUGUUAAGCAAGACGUGAAAUCCCCGGGCUUAACCUGGGAAUGGCGUUUUGAACUGGCAGUCUAGAGUGUGUCAGAGGGGGUAGAAUUCACGUGUAGCAGUGAAAUGCGUAGAGAUGUGGAGGAAUACCGAUGGCGAAGGCAGCCCCCUGGGAUAACACUGACGCUCAUGUACGAAAGCGUGGGUAGCAAACAGGAUUAGAUACCCUGGUAGUCCGCGCCCUAAACGAUGUCAACUGGUUGUUGGGGGAGUGAAAUCCCUUAGUAACGAAGCUAACGCGUGAAGUUGACCGCCUGGGGAGUACGGUCGCAAGAUUAAAACUCAAAGGAAUUGACGGGGACCCGCACAAGCGGUGGAUGAUGUGGAUUAAUUCGAUGCAACGCGAAAAACCUUACCUACCCUUGACAUGUCCAGAAUCCUGCAGAGAUGCGGGAGUGCCCGAAAGGGAAUUGGAACACAGGUGCUGCAUGGCUGUCGUCAGCUYGUGUCGUGAGAUGUUGGGUUAAGUCCCGCAACGAGCGCAACCCUUAUCAUUAGUUGCUACGCAAGGGCACUCUAAUGAGACUGCCGGUGACAAACCGGAGGAAGGUGGGGAUGACGUCAAGUCCUCAUGGCCCUUAUGGGUAGGGCUUCACACGUCAUACAAUGGUCGGUACAGAGGGUUGCCAAGCCGCGAGGUGGAGCCAAUCCCAGAAAGCCGAUCGUAGUCCGGAUUGUUCUCUGCAACUCGAGAGCAUGAAGUCGGAAUCGCUAGUAAUCGCGGAUCAGCAUGUCGCGGUGAAUACGUUCCCGGGUCUUGUACACACCGCCCGUCACACCAUGGGAGUGGAAUCUGCCAGAAGUAGGUAGCCUAACCGCAAGGAGGGCGCUUWMCACGGUGGGUUUCAUGACUGGGGUGAAGUCGUAACAAGGUAACCGU
rnacentral:rRNA from 1 species